GAUGAACGCUGGCGGCGUGCUUAACACAUGCAAGUCGAACGGAAAGGCCCUGCUUUUGUGGGGUGCCCGAGUGGCGAACGGGUGAGUAACACGUGAGUAACCUGCCCUUCACUUUGGGAUAACUUCAGGAAACUGGGGCUAAUAUCGGAUAGGAGCCCACGCUGCAUGGUGGGGGUUGGAAAGUUUCGGCGGUUGGGGAUGGACUCGCGGCUUACCAGCUUGUUGGUGGGGUAGUGGCUUACCAAGGCUUUGACGGGUAGCCGGCCUGAGAGGGUGACCGGCCACAUUGGGACUGAGAUACGGCCCAGACGCCUACGGUAGGCAGCAGUGGGGAAUAUGGCACAAUGGGCGGGAGCCUGAUGAAGCAACGCCGCGUGCGGGAUGACGGCCUUCGGGUUGUAAACCGCUUUCGCCUGUGACGAAGCGUGAGUGACGGUAAUGGGUAAAGAAGCACCGGCUAACUACGUG
rnacentral:rRNA from 1 species